rnacentral:rRNA from 1 species
GAUGAACGCUGGCGGCGUGCCUAAUACAUGCAAGUCGAGCGAACGGACGAGACGCUUGCUUCUCUGAUGUUAGCGGCGGACGUGUGAGUAACACGUGGAUAACCUACCUAUAAGACUGGGAUAACUUCGGGAAACCGGAGCUAAUUCCGUAUUACAUUUUGAUCCUCAUGGUUCAAAAGUGAAAGACGGUCUUGCUGUCACUUAUAGAUGGAUCCUCGCUGCAUUAGCUAGUUGGUAAGGUAACGGCUUACCAAGGCAACGAUGCAUAGCCGACCUGGGAGGGGGAUCGGCCACACUGGAACGGAGACACGCUCCAGACUCCUACGGGAGGCAGAGGUAGGGAAGCUUCGGCAAUGGGCGAAAGCCUGACGGACCAACGCCGCGUGAGUGAUGAAGUUCUUCGGAUCGUAAGACUCUGUUAUUGGGGAAAACCAGAUGUGGAAGUAACUGUGCACAUCGUGACGGUACCUAAUCAGAAAGCCACGGCUAACUACGUG